UGAGGAAUUUUGCGCAAUGGGCGAAAGCCUGACGCAGCGACGCCGCGUGGAGGAAGACGGCCUUCGGGUUGUAAACUCCUGUCAGGGGUGAAGAAACUUCGCAAGAAGCUGACGGUAACCCCAGAGGAAGCCCCGGCUAACUACGUGCCAGCAGCCGCGGUAAUACGUAGGGGGCAAGCGUUGCUCGGAAUUACUGGGCGUAAAGGGUGUGUAGGUGGCUGAUUAAGUUAAGGAUGAAAUCCCGAGGCUCAACUUCGGAACUGUCCUUGAUACUGGUCAGCUUGAGGCUAGUAAAGGAGAGCGGAAUUCCCGGUGGAGCGGUGAAAUGCGUAGAUAUUAGGAGGAACACCAGUAGCGAAGGCGGCUUUCUGGACUGUAACUGACACUGAGGCACGAAAGCGUGGGGAGCAAACA
rnacentral:rRNA from 1 species